UGGCAACGGAUGUUAGCUCAGGGUAAAUCUUCCUCACUAAAAAAAAAAAAGAAAAAAGGUACCAUACUACGCAUACUGCUGUGUAACUUGUUUUUGUCGUUUCCUGGGUUGCAUGGUGCUCCCUCAUCCAGCUGGAACCUAUGAGUGUGACCUUAAGUGGAAAUAGGGCUUUGCAGACAUAAUUAGGUAAGGAUCUCGAGAGGAGGUCACUCUGGAUGACCUGCUGGGCCCUAGGGCCAGUGACCGGCGCCCUUAGAAGAAGAGGGGAGACAUGCAGGGGAGAGGCUGCACUGCUGUCCAGGGAUCAGCAACGCUCACCCCUGCAGAGACACUGUCCCGUGCCUGGGGAGGUGGUCCCAGGGCUCUGAGAGCCUCUAGGCUUCCUUCCCCUGAGAAGCCCCCACCCGUGCUGAGAAAGUGGCCCUGGGCCCCUGAGAGCCCUGGAUGCCCUUCUCCCCUGUACCCCACCCCUGCUGGGGAUGUGCCCUGGGCCCCCAGAAGCCCACGCAGGCCCCCUUGCUUGGACUCUCUCUCCCGGCCGGAGUGGCCUCUGAACUGCACAUCCACCAGGCGGGCUGGCCGUGCACUUGUCUAUGGCGGUUCUGGCGGCUCGGAGCUGAAGUUCAAAGUCCAAACCCCUCACUGGGUCCCCCCUCAGGACCCUGCUCCCUACCUCAGGCCUCCAUCCCGACACUGCACACACCACAGCAAUGCAUGCUGUUCCACGUCUGCCUACUCUGUUCCUCUGCCUGGAACACCAGUCCUCCCCCGGCCCCACUCCCAUCCUCUGGGCCUCAGUGCUGACACUGCCUUCCCCAGGCCUGGCCUGGGCCUGAUGGCGUCCCCACGAUGCACUGGGCUCCCCAUUCUCCACACAUUCCAGAACUGUCUGAAUGGAACUGUGUGACCCCUGACCUCAGCCCAAAGGUCAUCAGGGCCUGGGCAGUGGGAUGGGCCACAUCUGGAAGGGCAAUCUGCCUGGGGGCCUAAGUCUCCAUUUCUCCACUUUCCUGCAACAUACUUGUGCCUGAGACUGAGGGACAUCAGAACCCUGGAGUUUGAGGGGUGACACGUGGCUACUCAGAGAAAGACUACGUUUCCCAGCCUUCUUUGCAGCAAGUAAGGUCAUAUGACUAAGCUGUGGCCAAUGGGAUGUGAGCAGAAGCAAUGUGUAUUUCCAGGUCCUGUCCUUAAGUGGAAAGGCAUGCUCUUCACUUCCCCUUUGCCUUUCCUCCUUUGCCUUUCUGGAGUGUGGAGGUGAUGGCCGGAGCUGGAGCAGCCACUUUGGACUGCAAGACAAAAGCCAUGUCUUGAGGAUGCCACACAACAAAGCAGAAGGAAUUUUAUCCCUGACAACGUGGGGUCUCAGUCCUUGGAUGCUUAUAUUCAGAGUGUUACAUGAAAGACAAAUACACUGCUCUCCUGAUUAAGCCAAUUUUAUUGGGGUCCCUUGGUGAAAUGUGUUUUAUUUUCCCUGACUCUUGGGCUGUUUCCAACGUGGCCACUUGGUCUGUGUAAUGUGUUGAAAAGUGUCUCCCAGAUGCAUAUUCCCUGGAACUUCAGAAUGUGGCCUAUCUGGAAGUAGGGUCUUUGAAGGCCAUGUGAAGACACGAAGACAAAGAGGAGACACACGGGCGGACAGCCAUCAGAUGACAACGGAGGCAGAGACUGGAGCCACGUGGCCACAAGUCAAGGAGCAGCAACGACUGCUGGCACCCCCGGAAGCUGGGAGAAACAAGGAAAAAUUCUCCCUCCAGCUUUCGGAGUGAUGGCGGCCCUGCAGACACCUUGAUUUCGGACUUUUAGCCUCCAGAACUGUGGGAGAACAAAUUCCCUGUGUCCUAGGGCACUUGGUCUGCGAUAUUUUGUUACGCAGCCCUAGGAAACCAACGGAGUUCACCGCAUGGAAAAUUACAGGUUAAAGACUCCUCUCUUUGGGCCACGGCCCCGGGAAAUGAAUAACAGCUGCUGGCUGAACUGUCUGGGUCACGUGUAGAUGCUCACGGCGGGACCUGCUCAAUGGGACCGACUAGAAUGAAGCUGCUGCUGCGGCCUGCACCUCCCAGCCCGCCACCACUGCCCCCUGCACCCAUCAUGGCUCUGCGCGUGGUGACACCCAACAUCACAGAUGGGGCGCAAUGUAAUGGACUUGGUAAUCCUGCUGCAGAGGCAACCGCCGCCUCCCAGACAGGACUCUUCAUUUGUCUCGCAGUGGGGGGGGGGGGGGGGGCGGUCACUGCAUGGGGCGUGGACCCCCGGCUCC
rnacentral:lncRNA from 1 species